rnacentral:rRNA from 1 species
UUUUUGAUUAAGCCAUGCAUGUGUAAGUAUAAAUAGUUAACUUUGAAACUGCGAAUGGCUCAUUAUAUCAGUUAUAGUUUAUUUGAUGAAGAAUACUAAUUGGAUAACCGUAGUAAUUCUAGAGCUAAUACAUGUAUAAAGUCUUGUAGACUGCAUUUAUUAGAAUGAAAACCAUAGGUUUCGGCCUAUUCGUGAGUAAUAAUAACUAAUCAUAUCGUAUGCUUAUGUAACGAUGUGUCUUUCAUAGUUUCUGCCCUAUCAGCUUUCGAUGGUAGUGUAUUGGACUACCAUG